GAAGAGGAAAAACAGUGAGUCGGAUGGCACAGAGGAAAUUACAUCAUCAAGCCAUUUGCUAACACCAAAGAGUUCUGGCACACCAUUGAGCGCUGCUGAAAAGCAGAGGUGCUACCGUUCCAGGCGUGAUGCUGAUGAACAGAGGAGACAAAAGUACUUAGAAAAAGAGAAGUGGAGGAAAGACGUAGAAACAGGGAAGAAGAAAAGGCAAAAAGACUGCAGCGUUAGACAGCAGCGUGCCAGCGAAAAAAAGUGGAGAGAUGCUCAUAAGAGGAGGAAUGCCAGGAAAAAGGUAUUUGAAGGAUUAAACACACCUCCAGUCAGCCCUGAUCCUCCAGUCAGCCCAGAAUAUCCAGUCAGCUCUCAACCUGGGACUUCAAGGCAAUGUGAUCUUGGGAAAAGACAAAGGAGGGCUGCCAAAGCAUUAAAGAGGGAGCUGCAGAAACAACAAGAUCAGUUGAGGAAAGUCGAACAGCGAGCAGAAAAAGGACUGCCCCUCUCCAAGAUCCAAAGACAACAAGUUGGUUCGGCAAAUCUCAGGCACAUCCCUAAGGAGAACCCUGUUGUUUCAUACAGCAGUAGCUGAGGAAGUACGUAACAAGUACGCACAUUCAAAGAGAGAGAGUGUCAGACAAGUCAUUGCAGGAAUAGUCAGUCACCAGCAAAAUCCUGAAGAAGUACAGGUUGCAGAGAUUGGCAAAGGAGGUUUGGCAAAGGAGGUGGACACAACUGGCAAAUGAAAAUGUCUACAGCUACCAGAGGAAGAAACACGAGGGGAUUGCUGCCACGCUGAGAUCAAUGGUGAG
rnacentral:lncRNA from 1 species